rnacentral:rRNA from 1 species
AACGAACGCUGGCGGCAUGCCUAACACAUGCAAGUCGAACGAGACCUUCGUGACUAGUUGCGCACGGGUGCGUAACGCGGGGGAACCUGGCCUUAGGUUCCGAAUAACACCCCGACGGGGGGGCUAAUACCGGGUAAUGUCUUCGGAUCACGGAUUUAACGCCCUUGGAUGGGCCCGCGUUGGAUUAGCUAGUUGGUAGGGUAAAAGCCUACCAAGGCGACGAUCCAUAGCUGGUCUGAGAGGAUGAUCAGCCACACUGGGACUGAGACACGGCCCAGACUCCUACGGGAGGCAGCAGUGGGGAAUAUUGGACAAUGGGCGAAAGCCUGAUCCAGCAAUGCCGCGUGAGUGAUGAAGGCCUUAGGGUUGUAAAGCUCUUUUACCCGGGAUGAUAAUGACAGUACCGGGAGAAUAAGCUCCGGCUAACUCCGUG